CAGUCGCCGCGGUAAUACGGAGGGAGCUAGCGUUGUUCGGAAUUACUGGGCGUAAAGCGCACGUAGGCGGUUAUUCAAGUCAGAGGUGAAAGCCCGGGGCUCAACCCCGGAACUGCCUUUGAAACUAGAUGACUGGAAUCUUGGAGAGGUCAGUGGAAUUCCGAGUGUAGAGGUGAAAUUCGUAGAUAUUCGGAAGAACACCAGUGGCGAAGGCGACUGACUGGACAAGUAUUGACGCUGAGGAGCGAAAGCGUGGGGAGCGAACAGGAUUAGAUACCCGUGUAGUCCCUGUCUCUUAUAC
rnacentral:rRNA from 1 species